CUAGGAAAGAAGCUCGACCACGACCAGGGGAUCACGAAGUUCAUGCAGCUGAGGUGUUAGUUGCAUUACUACUUACUGCAUCUGGUUGAAUGGACGAAAGAUCCAGUCCCCUCAUCUGACGGAAGAAAACAAGGGCUUGAAUCUUGUAAGUAGACCUACUGAAAUUUGUGACAGUCGGCUCUUGUUUACAAAACUAUACUAACUUGUUCAGCUAGAACUAAAUGGAAUUUAUUUCUCUAGAUUUACUCAAGAAUAUGAAUGUUCAUACUGAUUUUAACGUGAAGAGUUGAUGUUCAGAUGGUGGUUUUAACAGUGCACAACCAAUGGUUGUUUUGCAUAGAAGCUGUCAUGCUUGCUAUACAUGGAGAUUUAUAAUGCUGCCUAGGUUUGUGCUGCCUUUUUCUGAUUGUGCAUCAAUCGACUGGUACAUAACGUAAGAUGAUAAGUAUAAAUAAAAUGGAUUUGAAUGCAAGGGGAUAGUAGCUGAAAGCUAGAGCAAUGAAUUAUACAAGCUGAAAUGUCUCACUAAUCACUGGACUGAGUAACCCUGUUGCGCACGCUGGGGUCAACGGGAUAUGAGCCACCAAAUAGGCACGCGAAAGAAGUGAAGCUAUAGUUAAAUAAGCUCAUGUUGAUCUCCCUCAGUGAAUCUAUAAGUUGAUAAAUUGAUGUUAUUGUUGCUAUGCUUCCACUUAGUUUCAUCUAAUAUUCUGUAUUCACUUUAAACUAAUAUAUAUGGCAUUGGCAUUCUCAAUUUACUGCCACCUGCGACUGUAGGUUAUAUUAUUUCUUUCUCUUCCAGCCAUAGGUAUUGUUAUAUAUGCUGGCUUGUUGGGAUUUCCAUAAUGGUUUCAGACUUUUGGUUGGACAAGCUUCAAGUGAUCGAUUUGAUGGCUAUAACGGUUUGGUGAGUUUCGGAUUCCCCGUGCACGAAUAAGCUUUUGUGUGAUGAAACGAUAGUUAAUUUUAGCAUUUAGUUUAUGAUGAGUUUAGUUCUUAAAUAUCAGCACCAUUUAUGGAUUCACAUCACCUACCGAUGCUUAGGAGUUAGGAGCACUUGGCAAGUUGGCACAUACAUGCAACUAUGCAAACAAGGAUCAACACUUUUGGUAUGGCAUUGUAUCCCUGGUUGUGUCCAGGAACUUGUAUACUCCGAAUGUUUGAUUUAAUAAGGAGAAUUUUGUAUCUGUUUUUUUUUUUUGGCUACGGCCGAAGAAUUGGCAAGGUUGGUUUGGACACCGACCAAACAUGAAACAUACACUGUAAGCCCACCUCUGUUUUAGGAUGAUUAUGAUUUACCAGUGCCUCAAAUAGUUGUGACAUCAUUCUUGAAGCUUUCCCUGGUGUUAAACGCAUUGACAUCCAUCCUUAAUUAAAUUUAGGUUAAAUGUGGGGCCUAUGUUCAAUGUAUUGCCAAUGCAGAACACUCUCUCUGCAUUAUAUUGCUGUGUAAGAAUUAAUAGAUGAAAAUUUUCUAUAUGUAUCUGUCUAGCAUUUAUUGAAUGGAUCUAUAGCUGUAAGCCUGUAAGACCCACCUGUUUUCAGGUUUAUUCAUCAUUUAUCAGUGUCCUGUCUUGGCCAUGGUUAAAAUUUAGGAGGGAGUGGUUCCCUCGUUCUUACUUAUGUACUUCUCACUAUAAUUUGAGCUGUGGCUUUAUUUGCCAAGUUGCCCGUGUCAUUUCCCUGUAUGGUGCUUUGGUCCCAACUCCCAUGUAUUGACUUGUGGUGACUUUGUGCACUGAUAUUUGUCCUGAACUACUGACAGAAAUUACGUGAGCAGUUUUCUAACUGCUUCCUCUUAUUCCGAUUCUUUUGGUUAGUCGUCUAUGAGAACUUCAAGAAGGGAUAGCUCCUAUUCUGAAGAUGUUUGUUUCAGAGUCCGAGAACGCAUCUUAUUGAGGAGCUUAAGAGCUCUUCCUGAAGGCGUUGAAGCAUACAGGCAGAUUUGUGCUACUUCUGCUGUUGAAUCAGAACAAUUGGCUCAAUCCCUAAGUGUUUUGCCAAAUGGAGAUCCAGAAGUGAAAGCUGAACUCUUACCAAAGUGAAAGCAUGAUCUGUAAAACUUAUUCCAGUGUGCGAUUAGAAGCAAUGCAGCAACGUGAAGUUACCUGUUGUCAGAGAAGAUUAAUAGUUCGUGGCAUACUUCCCAAAGAUAGCCAUGCAGUUAGUUCGGUUUCCUGUUAAGGAUUUUGUCCUGUACAAAUUUGUUAAUGUAGUUACUCAACAGAAAUAUAAGAUCUUGCUGUACAGCUAAGCAUGACGAAAGCCCAAAUGCAAGGUUUGAUUUGUUGCA